rnacentral:rRNA from 1 species
UACGAAGGGUGCAAACGUUGCUCGGAAUCAUUGGGCGUAAAGCGCACGUAGGCGGCUUCGCAAGUCGGAUGUGAAAUCCCUCGGCUCAACCGAGGACGUGCAUCCGAAACUGCGGGGCUUGAGUACAGAAGAGGAUCGCGGAAUUCCCGGUGUAGAGGUGAAAUUCGUAGAUAUCGGGAGGAACACCAGUGGCGAAGGCGGCGAUCUGGGCUGAUACUGACGCUGAGGUGCGAAAGCGUGGGGAGUAAACAGG